AGAGUUUGAUCCUGGCUCAGGACGAACGCUGGCGGCGUGCUUAACACAUGCAAGUCGAACGGUAAGGCCCUUCGGGGUACACGAGUGGCGAACGGGUGAGUAACACGUGGGUAAUCUGCCCUGCACAUCGGGAUAAGCCUGGGAAACUGGGUCUAAUACCGAAUAGGACCACAGGACACAUGUCCUGUGGUGGAAAGCUUUUGCGGUGUGGGAUGGGCCCGCGGCCUAUCAGCUUGUUGGUGGGGUGAUGGCCUACCAAGGCGACGACGGGUAGCCGGCCUGAGAGGGUGUCCGGCCACACUGGGACUGAGAUACGGCCCAGACUCCUACGGGAGGCAGCAGUGGGGAAUAUUGCACAAUGGGCGAAAGCCUGAUGCAGCGACGCCGCGUGGGGGAUGACGGCCUUCGGGUUGUAAACCUCUUUCACCAUCGACGAAGGUCCGGGUUUUCUCGGGCUGACGGUAGGUGGAGAAGAAGCACCGGCCAACUACGUGCCAGCAGCCGCGGUAAUACGUAGGGUGCGAGCGUUGUCCGGAAUUACUGGGCGUAAAGAGCUCGUAGGUGGUUUGUCGCGUUGUUCGUGAAAUCUCACGGCUUAACUGUGAGCGUGCGGGCGAUACGGGCAGACUUGAGUACUGCAGGGGAGACUGGAAUUCCUGGUGUAGCGGUGGAAUGCGCAGAUAUCAGGAGGAACACCGGUGGCGAAGGCGGGUCUCUGGGCAGUAACUGACGCUGAGGAGCGAAAGCGUGGGGAGCGAACAGGAUUAGAUACCCUGGUAGUC
rnacentral:rRNA from 1 species